rnacentral:lncRNA from 1 species
GGGGUGGUAAUUAUGGAUAUAGAGUUAUUUCAGCUUUACUUGGUAAAGGAUAAGAUAACCAUAUACUUGUCUAUUAUUAACCUAUGUAAGAGUUAGGGACUCAUAAAGAAUCAUACACACAACUGUACGGAAAGAAAGAACACUUUGAUGAAGUUCAUGAGUCUCUUGUUCCUUGCCUUAGUGGACCAACUCCGAAGAUAAAAU